rnacentral:rRNA from 1 species
UACAGAGACGGCGAGCGUUGUUCGGAUUCAUUGGGCGUAAAGGGUGCGCAGGCGGCCUGUUAAGUCGGGUGUGAAAUUUCCGAGCCCAACUCGGAACGGUCAUUCGAAACUGGCGGGCUUGAGGACUGGAGAGGAGACUGGAAUGGUCGGUGUAGCGGUGAAAUGCGUAGAGAUCGACCAGAACACCGGUGGCGAAGGCGGGUCUCUGGACAGUUCCUGACGCUCAGGCACGAAAGCCAGGGGAG